CCUACCCGAUACAUAGCUUACUGUCCCGAUCGCGUCCUGUCAGCCUGAUUGUAGCCAUACUAGCUUCGAAGUCCCUCGUUUUAUUAUUAUCUCAGUAUAUUAAUAUAAUCAUAUUUCUAUAAUUCUUGUUGAAAAUUAUGUUUAUCCGUUCAUUUAGUGAUUUUUGUAAAUCGGUGAUUGUGUUCAGGGUCUUUUUUUGUUUCUAUUAACGUUCUAACUAGUAAGGUGGCUAAUUAGCCAACGCCUCCCUCCCCUACCAAACAUGGCACUGUUUUACUCAGGGCGCUUGUAAGAGCUGACAAAGAUCACAUGACGGAUGUACAUCGUCUGGCCAAGACAAGUAGCAAAGCACCGAACUCCAAGUUAAAAACAAGGAUUCAAACUUUGUGUCCAGUUACCUUUUCAACUAUGAAGCUUCGAACAGGGCCAACGUGACAGGAGAGGUCAGCAUAAGGGCUUGCUGCUCGCUACAGGUCCAUGAGGAAAAAUGAGAAACCACACAGUUUGAGUGUAGGCUGAAAAGUCAGGUGUUUGUGACACACUAUAUGCAGGUUACAACAGUCAGAGAUGAAGCCUAGUCUUAGACUAAGAAGUUCCUGUCAAUGGAGAACUGCAUUAAGAGGCGUUGCUUAGUCUAGGACUAGGCUUAUGAAACCGUUCUUAGUGCAGUAAUUGUUCAGAUGUUUUCCUUGCUGUUUAUGUGAGCUCUGUUAUGUUGGACGCAUUAGAUUACAUUUAAACAAGGACAUAUACCCUUAAUAGAAAAGUUUAAAUUCUUUAUUAGUUGUCCCCCCUUCCUGCCAUGCUACUGUAGCUAGGAAGCAAACGUAGCUAGCUUGCUAUCAUACAAGCUUAAUUGAUAAUAUAUCGUUAUAUUGUUAACCUAUUCGUUUACCAACAGUUCAGUUAAUGUAUAGUGCUUCUACGCCUGCAUUGCUUGCUGUUUGGAGUUUUAGGCUGGGUUUCUGUACAGCACUUUGUAACAUCAGCUGAUGUAAGAAGGGCUUUAUAAAUACAUUUGAUUGAUAUUGCUGUAAUGAAUUUAGUGGCUGUUGCAUGUUGCGCCAGUCAUUUCUGUUUGCUGGUCGUGACACAUGUUGAGUGAUUUUAGUCUAAUCAUUUUCUUUUUAUUACCCCACGUGGGUUGUACUGAAGCCCUGUGAGCCAGUAACAAUGACACCACACAGUUGCAUUACUAUUCCAGUCUGCACACUAAGAUGUAACACCAGUCGUCACACCUGUGCACAGCUGCACAGAGGCCGAGCAGCAGUGGCAUAAGCCAAGGACUAUGGGUCUGCAACCUGGGCCCAUAGGCAAAAUGACCAUCACCAAGCCCACCAAAAAGCGCAUGGCAGAAGGACGGAUUAGGUUGUUUCAAGUACAUUGUUUAGAUUGGCUAACCACAGCGGCUGCUUUGCGGAAGUACACUCUACAGCGCCCUUUUUGGAACGCUCCCUGACCUCUCAGUUCUCCAGAUAGAAGAGGAAAACAAGAACUUUGACCCUCUAUCCAAGCCAUUGAUCUGCAGCAUGGGGAUGUCUGCUGAAAAGCUUUUAGCUGACUCCCACUUUGGAAAGGUAUAGGUGGGGAGCCUCCUGUCUUACCAGCAGCCUCCAAUCACAACGUGACCAUAGUUCACUAUAAGGAGACACCACCAUUCCCUUUACUGCCCCUGGGUGGCUACAGACUGGAGAGCAACUUUCAAGGCUGCACUUGUGCUCAAUGAAGAAGACCAGCUUCACAUAGUCUCUUCAGUAGAUGGAGGCCAUGCUGCAAUGUCAGAUGAGAGGCUAGAGAAGGCCUACAUUACAGUGGAGUGGAGCCCUCGGCCAGCUCCUCCCAUCAUCAGCACAGCCAAUGGACAUGUCAAGAGGAAAAGGGGUGAUAUCAUCCCUGGUCAGCAGUGAGACUGAUGACAACCAGCAGCAGUCCACAAUGCUCUUAAUGUGCUGGAGGACCAGUUGGAGGACCAGAGGAAGCCGAGGAAGGAUGAGCCCCCACCCAGCCCUGGUCAACUCUACGUGGGCAGCUUCUCCAAGGCCACCCCCUCAAAGUGCCCGCGGCUGUAUUGCUCUAGCUCUUCCACCACCCAACCUCAGAACCAGACCACCUAAUCGUCCAUUGUCUUAUCCCGCAUCACCACAUCCCCAGUGGGUCAGCCUCUCAAUGUGGCUGGCUUGCCUGUGGCCACUGUCCAAACUCCACACCGGCUCUCAGCUCUUCACCCACUACACCACUGGCAACACCUCUGCAGGAAAGAGAGGCUCUCCAUGCAGCCUCCAGGGUGACUGUGCUCAACACUACCACAGAGUCAGGGGUGGGGACCCCUCUACAGGUGCUUCAUCUAACCCAGGAGAGGGUGCAGGAGUCUGGGGACAUGGAGAGCCAGAGGCUGGGGGAGGAGAGGAUAGUACUUGUGCAGCAGGGGGUACUACUGGACACUCCAGAGAUUCAGACACACUAGGCUGGGAACAGUGGGGUCUCAAUCAGAGAUGGAGGAAGAGGGGGAGGAGAAGGAGCAGGGGAGGGACAGGAGAAUGAAGGUACAGAAGGAACGGUUGCAUAAUGUAGAGCAUGUCUUUGGCAAGAAGAGGGCAAUUAAAGAACAUAAAACCAAGUGAGAGAAGAGAGAACCGUAACGAAAACAGUUAAAAGAAAAUAGAGUGAGUGAAUGAGCGAGGGAGUGUGUGUGAAUGUGUCCAUGUGGAAGAGAACAAGGUGGUGAACUUCGCCAUGUCAUGUUUAACUCCACACAGACAUUUUAACGUACAGUACUUUUUCACAUGGUGUUUAUUACUGCAGUGCCCAUAGUACUUUAAUUACCCAUGGUCUUCAUCAUCAAGGACAUUGAAAUACUUAAUGAUAGGGGAGAGUCAGCUAAGUUGAGCCAUGUUUUACAUUCAGCAUUAAUCCGUCUAGGGAAAUAUAGUAUUCUUUCUAACAAAGAUAUCUACAUAUAUUUCAGGAUGUUGUGCAUCCCUGGAAAUAAUCAGAAUCAUUUAAAUAUUACAGUUUUGCGGGACAAGGUAAGUUAAGCCGCCUAUUUCUGUACUGAAUUAAA